GUGCUCACUGCAGCAGCACAUAUACUAAAAAUUGGAACAAUACAGAGAAGAUUAGCCUGGCUCUUGGCAAGGACGGCAUGCAAAUUUGUGAAGUGUUCCAUGUAUUU
rnacentral:snRNA from 1 species